CCUACGGGGGGCAGCAGUGGGGAAUAUUGCACAAUGGGGGAAACCCUGAUGCAGCGACGCCGCGUGAAGGAUGAAGUAUUUCGGUAUGUUAACUUCUAUCAGCAGGGAAGUAAAUGACGGUACCUGACUAAGAAGCCCCGGCUAACUACGUGCCAGCAGCCGCGGUAAUACGUAGGGGGCAAGCGUUAUCCGGAUUUACUGGGUGUAAAGGGAGCGUAGGCGGUAAUGCAAGUCAGAAGUGAAAGCUCGGGGCUCAACGCCGGGACUGCUUUUGAAACUGUGUUGCUAGAUUGCAGGAGAGGUAAGUGGAAUUCGUGGUGUAGCGGUGAAAUGCGUAGAGAUUAGGAGGAACACCAGUGGCGAAGGCGGCUUACUGGACUGUAAAUGACGCUGAGGCUCGAAAGCGUGGGGAGCAAACAGGAUUAGAUACCCUUGUAGUC
rnacentral:rRNA from 1 species